rnacentral:tRNA from 1 species
GGAAGGAUGGCAGAGUGGUCGAAUGCGGCGGUCUCGAAAACCGUUAGGUCGCAAGGCCUCGCAGGUUCAAAUCCUGCUCCUUCCG